rnacentral:rRNA from 1 species
UUCGGCCUACGGGGCGCAGCAGUGGGGAAUAUUGGGCAAUGGGCGCAAGCCUGACCCAGCAACGCCGCGUGAAGGAAGAAGGCUUUCGGGUUGUAAACUUCUUCUCUCAGGGACGAAGCAAGUGACGGUACCUGAGGAAUAAGCCACGGCUAACUACGUGCCAGCAGCCGCGGUAAUACGUAGGUGGCAAGCGUUAUCCGGAUUUACUGGGUGUAAAGGGCGUGUAGGCGGGAAAGCAAGUCAGAUGUGAAAACCACGGGC